rnacentral:rRNA from 1 species
GACGAACGCUGGCGGCGUGCCUAAUACAUGCAAGUCGAACGCAGUGGGGACGGGUGAGUAACACGUGGGUAACCUCCCAUCAGAGGGGAUACCACUUGGAAACAGGUGCUAAACCGAUACUGAUGUAUGGACUCGCGGUGCAUUAGCUAGUUGUUGAGGUAACGGCUCACCAAGGCCACGAUGCUUAGCCAACCUGAGAGGGUGAUCGGCCACACUGGAACUGAGACACGGCCCAGACUCCUACGGGAGGCAGCUGUGGGGAAUCUUCGGCAAUGGACGAAAGUCUGACCGAGCAACGCCGCGUGAGUGAAGAAGGUUUUCGGAUCGUAAAACUCUGUUGUUAGAGAAGCGGUAUCUAAACAGAAAGACACGGCUAACUACGUGCCAGCCGCCGCGGUAAUAC